rnacentral:rRNA from 1 species
ACGCUGGCGGCGCGUCUUAGCAUGCAAGUCGGACGGCAAGAGAGGAGCUUGCUUCUCUCCUAGAGUGGCGGACUGGUGAGGAACACGUGGGUAAUCUACCCUUAAGAUGGGGAUAGCUGCUAGAAAUAGCAGGUAAUACCGAAUACACUCGGCAUAUCACAAGAGAUGUUGAGGAAAGGAAGCUACGGCUUCGCUUGAGGAUGAGCUUGCGUCCCAUUAGCUAGUUGGUGAGGUAAAGGCCCACCAAGGCGACGAUGGGUAUCCGGCCUGAGAGGGUGAACGGACACAUUGGGACUGAGAUACGGCCCAAACUCCUACGGGAGGCAGCAGCUAAGAAUAUUCCGCAAUGGACGGAAGUCUGACGGAGCGACGCCGCGUGGAUGAAGAAGGCUGAAAAGUUGUAAAAUCCUUUUGUUGAUGAAGAAUAAGGGUGAGAGGGAAUGCUCAUCUGAUGACGGUAAUCGACGAAUAAGCCCCGGCUAAUUACGUGCCAGCAGCCGCGGUAACACGUAAGGGGCGAGCGUUGUUCGGAAUUAUUGGGCGUAAAGGGCAUGUAGGCGGCUAUGUAAGCCUGAUGUGAAAUCCUGGGGCUUAACCCUAGAAUAGCAUUGGGUACUGUAUAGCUUGAAUUACGGAAGGGAAACUGGAAUUCCAAGUGUAGGGGUGGAAUCUGUAGAUAUUUGGAAGAACACCGGUGGCGAAAGCGGGUUUCUGGCCGAUAAUUGACGCUGAGAUGCGAAAGUGUGGGGAUCGAACAGGAUUAGAUACCCUGGUAGUCCACACUGUAAACGAUGUACACUAGGUGUUGGGGCAAGAGCUUCAGUGCCAAAGCAAACGCGAUAAGUGUACCGCCUGGGGAGUAUGCCCGCAAGGGUGAAACUCAAAGGAAUUGACGGGGGCCCGCACAAG